GAGCGAGAGCGAUAAAGAUGUAUCGAAUAGAAUAGAUAGAGGGAGCGGGCGCGCGGGUGUGAGUGUGACGACGGUGUACGCAAUCCCCCACACGCAGAAAAUGAGGCAGUAAACGAAGCCCUGGUGAACGUGAGAACAGGAACAACGAUAUAUUGUGCGGUAGUGCGGGUGACAAGACUAGAGAAAAAUAAGAAAAAUUGAUAAAUAAAUAAUAAAAUAAUAAUGGCGUCGGCGGGUCGCAGGGGCGCGGAAGGGGGUUGUGGUGUUUGAGGCGCAACGGCGGCAAAGGGGCGGUGAGGAAGGGAGGGGGGGGCGAAAGAGCACAUGUAAUAAUUCGUAGAGGUGUCGGGAAAAAAAUGAAUGGUCAACUCGGUAACGGAACAGGAUACGCACGAGUUUACUUCCGGAGUGGUUGUCACCUUGCACUGCGUGCGUGGUUCAUUUUUUGCUAACGGCCCGGUCAACCAUCCUCCGCUCUAUAUUUGGCCAGUGUUCGCAUCAACGAACCAUAUUGCAUAUCUCGCGAGCACAAUACGAUUGAUACGACAUUUGCCGACCGUUCGGACUCUCGGAUCGCCACCACCGCUGCUGCCACCGCUGCCGCCGCCUUCUCGUAACCAACAAUCGCACGAAGGAAGAGAGAAAAAAAAAUAGCGAUUAACGCCCGUUUAUACGGCGUGAUAAAUCCGACUUUUCUUUUUUUUCCCUUCUGCUCUCGUUUCUUACGCCCCGCGCCGCACGAGUCCCGAAAGAGAAAGAGAGAAAGAGAAAGAGAGAGAGAGAGGGAGAGAGAGCCAGCCCCCGUAUCGUAUUUUAGCAUGUGCCAAUCCCUCCUCCCCCGCCUUCGUCUUGAAUCGCGACUUCAACGUUAAGACGUUUUUCUCUCUUCUCUCAACUCGAUUCGCAUUUUUAUUGUUUUAUCUCAUCGCAUCAUUAGUGGCGCGUACCUACCAGAUGGUCCCGCGUUCUUGGUAAAAAAAAUGAUUUUACUUUACCCUGGUGCACUCGCCAAGACGUUAUUUCGAAUAGAUGAUGAUCUAAUCGCGAGCUUCCUUCGAGACAACAGACAGCCGUAUUUGUUGGAUCGUCUGGUCAAAAUUUGUCAUGCUUCUUGACUCUUCGCUCGUGCCUACGAGUCGAGCAGUGGCUUUUCUCGUUUUUUCCUCUCGACAACCGCCGUUUGAUUAUGAUGCAACCUGCUUAUGUUAGAGAAUGCGCGCAAGGGUACGUGUACAUGAAUGGGGACAUUGGGAACCUCCCACAAGGGGUGGUUUACCCAGCCAACCCUGAAGGAACCUUGGGUCAGGUCGGAGGCGCGGUCGUUGGGGGAAGCGCCUCCGGUUUAGACUACGGAGUCAUGAACGGCGCUCCUAGUGGUAACGAAAUAAUGCUGGACACAGCGAUGGGAGCCCUUGAAACAAAUACCCAGCAGCAGCAGCAGCAGCAGCAAUCCCCGCAUCAGCAUCAGCACCAGCAGCAUUCCAUGGGAAUAGGAGGUGCUCUCCCGGUCGGCUAUGCACCAGUCGACAUAACCGGCAUCAAUGAGAUUCAGCUCCAACAAAACUCCAUGGGUGACCUCUCGUUGUCGGGUAUACCCUUGGAACAGCUCAAACAGAUGCUCUCUUCUCAACUCGAGUAUUACUUUUCCAGAGAAAACUUGGCCAAUGAUACAUAUUUAUUAUCACAAAUGGAUAACGACCAAUAUGUACCAAUUUGGACAGUAGCAAACUUUAAUCAAGUUAAAAAAUUGACCAAGGACAUAAAAUUAAUAACGGAGGUGCUGCGCGAAUCGCCCAACGUACAGGUUGACGAAGAGGGCCAAAAAGUCAGACCGAAUCACAAACGAUGUAUAGUUAUAUUACGGGAAAUUCCAGAUAGUACGCCGAUCGAGGACGUCAAGAACUUAUUCUCGGGUGAAGGAUGUCCGAGACUUAUAUCCUGCGAAUUUGCCCACAACAGCUCUUGGUAUGUAACCUUUGAAUCGGACGAAGACGCUCAGAAGGCCUACAGGUUUCUACGGGAAGAAGUUAGAGAAUUUCAGGGAAAACCAAUAAUGGCGCGCAUCAAAGCUAAACCAAUGAACAGGCUACCGAUACCGCCCACCCCCGUACCAGGGGUCGGAGGUAUAAAAAAUGGCUACCGGACUACGCCGCCUCCGCCUGUUUACGAUCCGAGCGGUGGUUAUCCACCGAGUCAGCAACGCUUCCUCUACACGAACGGUACCACGAUGCCGCAAACUACAAUGCCGCCAUAUGCCAAUCAAGUUCAUCUAUACCAUCAACCGUUUUAUCCAGCGGGAAUAAUGCCGUGGCCGCCGGCGAGUCCCGCCUAUUUCGACAUGGCUGGUGUCUUUACGAUGAACGGUAUAACGCCGCACAACAAUUUCAAACCACACAACAGAGGGUUCCAGCCGAGAAACAGAAAUAAACACAGGAACGGGCCCGAAAGAGGUGGUGGUUCUAUCGACAGCGGUGGGGGUGGAGGCGGCGGUGGUAUGGUACAAAUGGGUGGUGGUCGUAUAGGUCACACACCAAAAAACAGUGGUGGAGGAGGGCCGUUGCUCGGUUCUGGCGUAUUGCCACCAGCGGUAGCCGCAACAGCGGUAGCUACGGCGGCGACAUCGACAGCAGCAGCACCACCUCCACCACCGCCAGCUCCGCCGCUCCAGCCACCUUCACAAUUAAGCCAGGGUUUACCAACGGCCAAGUCUACUUCUUCCUAUCAGACCGGCACAAAGUUCCAUUCCUCCCACGUGGUUCCGGUAGCAAGUGAAACUCAAUUUGUAACGAGUCACAACGUAACUAAAGGUUCGGCAAAGGAGACAAACGAUGCUCAAACCCUCGAAACAACGGUGCAGCAUUCGCAUUCUCAUCCGCAUCCGCAUGCCCAGCAGCAACAGCAGCAGCAGCAGCCGCAGUCGUUGCCGUCGUUGUCGCACCAGCAUCAGCAGCAACAUCAUCCGCAACAUCACCAACAAUUGCAACAGCAACAGCAGCAAUUCCCUCGCCACCGUAUACAUCGCCGGACCAAAGAUCAAGAACCAACGGGAAAAGGAAACAACGGUAGUAACACGUUGCCAUCGAUGAGAGAAUCAUCGGCCCCGGCCAGUAAUACCCACUACAAUCGAAGCGUGGCUCAAUUCGAUUUGGAGGCAUCGGCAUUUCCUCCGCUUCCUGGCCUAGACGGCGAUGCACCAAAGUCGCAAAAUCCUAAUGUUGAAACGAUCAAUGUCGAUAGCCCGCAAUCGCAAAAUAGGCUCUCGGACGUGGUUAAAGGUACGGCCAAAUUGAAAGGCUCCGUUGCCAAAGACAAGGAGCCUCAUCAAGCGCAGUCACAGCAGCAGCAGCAGCAGCAGCAGCAGCAUCACCACCACCACCACCAUCAUCAACAGCAACAACAUCAGCAGCACCAAGGAAUCGUUGGUUCAACCUCCGGACACGUUACAUCGCAGCAGCAACAGCAGCCGCAGCAGCAAACUAGCAACACCAGCAGAUCCACGAGUCCAGGAACGAACGCAGCGGUAUGCAACACCGCUAGCGUUAUCGGACAUGCCACGGAGCAGCCGCCCACCUCCAGUUUCGGUCCAACAAUUGCAAUCGCUACUUCCGUCGUAGCUAGUAAUACGAGCGUCGAUACCUCUGUUUUUACUCCGAGCACCAAUAAUCCAGCUGCCGGCAGCAACAACAACAAUAACAGCAACAUCACCAACAACAACAACAAUAAUACAGACUCUACAGACAUCGCUCUCAGCACCAUCACCCUCACUCCCCCAUCAUCUCCCGAUAAGACCUUAGCAGGCCAAGUUACGCCCAAGUAGCUCAGCACAGCCGCGAGGUGCACUGUACAAAACACAAAACAACCGAGGACAAGGAUGGAAAUGAUUAGGAGGAUCGAUGUCCGCGCGUGUAUAUUAUUCCCCAUUCGAUCACGAUGUCUGAGGGUUUUUCCGUUUGGUUCCUACCUCACCGGGGGACCCGAGUUUGCCGAUGGAUCGGGAUCGUCCGUAACGUUAAGCCGGUUGGCUGGCUCGUGCUCCUCCCGAGCAAUCGUCGGUUGCCCCACGGACGAGCGGAUCAACCGCCUACGAGAGAGAGAGAGAGAGAGAGGGAGCAAAACGAUAAAAAUCAUUCGAGUCUUUACGUUGUACAGUGGUGAGCUCGCCUACGACGAAUGUGUUAUCCCCGAUUAUUAUCGAGAACCAAUGGAUUGUAAAACAGUUUAUCCGGUUAGAGACGAGUUAAUUGCCCUACGAUCGAUUCAGCGGAAUAUCAACUGCGCGCCAUCGUUGCGUAGCAGAUGAAAAAAAAGAAACAACAACAAAAAAAAACGAGAAAGAGUAUCAUUAUCGCUUUGGUUCUGUGAUUUUCGAGGUACAUGUUUGUUAGUCUGUAAAAAAAUGUUUUAAAUAAGGUGUUGAUAAUUCACUUCCGAUCGUCCUUCUCCCUCCCUGCCUCCCUCGCCCCCUCCCCUCCCCUCCCCUCCCCAACCCCCGGCCUUACCGCCGCCUCUUUCCCACGGUAUCCGCGACACGCGAAAACACCGUGUUUUUCCUCCACUCGUUGCGCAGGACCGUAAUCGGGAAUGAAAAUGUUCAGCUCAGUGCCAAAUUGUUGAAACAUAACGAACGAACCCAGCAGCACUUGGUCAAUGUUCCGACGCGACGAAAUAGUGCGUGAUUCAUUCGAAUUCAACCGAACACACGAAAAUUUAGAUUUGUUUUGUGUUUUUUUUUGUCUCUCUUUUUUUUCUUUUUUUUUUUCAAUUAAUUAAUUAAUGAUUAUUUUUACGCGAAUGUGCCAGAAGUUCAAUACGACGCGAGAGAGAGAAAGGUUGAGAGCAGAGCAAAAGUAAUGAAAUGAAAAAAGUUUGUAGCAGGUGUGCGAGACAAUUUUGAAAAAUCAUUGACGCGACGACGAGCCGAUAGAUCUAAUUACGGCAACUGAUCUUACCCGUUCUCCUGUUCCACGAACCCGAGCCCACCCCUCCACCCAGCCUCGAUUAUCCUCUUUUUUUAUACUAUUGUUACGAGAGAUGCGAGGGACGAUUUAGAUUUAUGCUACGGCCGAUAAAGCGAGAGACGAUCGAGUCGCUCGCGUCGGCGGAAUAAAAAAGGAUAAAAGAAUAAAAAAAAAAAUAAAAUAAAAAAAAACGAAAAAUGGUAUUUGAGCACACAAUCAAGUGCCUCAAGUGUUAUGUAUAUUACAGGAGCUUGGCUUUAGAUGUUAUACGAUUACAUGUAUCUAUACAUUAUAGUAAAGAGCGCAUAUGAUAUAUUUGUUACUGAUAUGCGUGCAGAAUUGAGGUAAUGGAUGCUGAACAAACAAAAAAAAACUACAAAAAAGUAAAAAAAAAAAAUAAUAAGAAAACGACGAAAAAAAGAAAAGAGAGGGAAGAUAAACAAACCAAUCUCCUGAAUUAUAAAUGAUUAUCGAAGUAUGUAAUGGUAUUUUAAGUUAGCGAUGCUGCCUCGUCAUUUAUUUGUUUUUUUUUUUUUUUUCAUUUUUUUUUCUCGUACGUAUAUUAUACAAUAUCGUUGCGAAUGUACAAACAAUGACAACGACGACGAUGACGGAGACGACGGCGACGAGACGACGACGAUGACGUUUACAACGACAACGUUCGAGAUUGGAGGUUUAAGGUUCGGUACAGCGCGUGUGGCUCAUCCUCGUUUAAGAGCACACAAAAAACUAAAAUGAUGCAACACGCGCAUGCGCGUUACCGCCUGCCCGCUAGCCCGGUUCUUCACAUUUAAUAUAAUGAUGUAGUGCUACUGGAUUGGUAAGUGCUGCCGGCCAUGUGUAAAGCUCUUCCUCCAAGCAGAUAGCUCUCCCGCGCGCUAUUCAGUUUGUUGUUUAUCCUUCUUUCGCAUCCGUUGGAAAUGUGCACGCGCGCUCGAUGUACCCUUGAGACAAAGGGCCGAAAAUAAAGUCUAUUUUCUUUCGCGAUUGCAUCGAAAAAAUGUCAAGCACUGCGUCGGCUUUCUCUCCUUCGAUUAAUCAAUUGACAAUGAGAAAUGUUUUUGGUUUUUAUUUUUAUUUUUUUUCUUUUAAUUCAACCGUUCGGAAAAAUCCAAGGUGACGAAUUAGUUUUUAUCCAUUGAUUUAGACUUUCAGAAGGCUCGCAAAGAAUUGAGAACAAAAAAUGUUUAACGAAUAUAUAAUAAGGAACAAGCCUCGACGAACAAAAAUACAAUGUAACGUUUCUAUUCACGGCGGCGGGGGCGGUUUCGCGAACGGGCCGGUGGCCUAGAAAGUCUGAUUUUUUAACUAAUAUACAGAAUCGUGCGUAUACGCGAUGUGGUGUACUACAAUCUGUUUAUAAUCAUAAUAAUUAUUAUUAUUAUCAUCAUUACUAUUAUUAGAACCACUAUUACGAUGUAAAGCGACAGAUUUCAAAAUUAAAUACUAAUUACUGUUGAUUGGUUUAACGAUUAUUCCGACGACGAGAGAUAUGCUAUGACAUGCUAUAUAAAGAACGAACAGGCGGACGGUCACCGAACGAAACGGAUGCACGCAACGCCGCGUGUACCCCCGUGCGCGGAGAUCACCGCGUCCAUCAUUUUUUCUCCAGUCUUAAUCGCGUAUUUGAAUCUACCGUGCACCGUGUGUGUGCACGCAUCGUCGUAAAUAUAUGGAUGUUUCUAGAGGGGCUUUGCGUUCGUAUAGGAACGGAAAAAUGAGAGCGAGAGAGGGAGAAGCUCAACUAGUUGACCGAAUGAUCGAUCAGUCCGAGAAAUCAUUCGAAUUAUGGAUAUUACGAACCAGCGAGUUUUCGAUCGUCUUGCCGUUAAAUUUACUUGCCCGCUAUUGCGCAAUCCCGCACGCGUGCCCAGUCUCUCUGCUCUCGCUCUCGCUAACCUCUCUUACCUCUCAUUAUUUACCUCGCCGUCCGCUGGCUCUCCGAUCGAGCCGAGCCGAGCCGAGGGUUUCUCAUAGGAAUAACAGCGCGAAAAGGGAGAGCUGUGCAGGAAUAAGAAACGGAAAAGUUCGACUUUUGCGAAGCGUUGGAAAAUGAAUUUUUUGGAAAUAGUCGAGGUGCUUCGUCGACCGAGACGAGUUUAGACAUAAAAACAUUUCGUUGGUCUUUAUGAUUUUUUUUAACUACAGCGAUACACCGGUAGGAAAAAAAAAAGAAGCAGGACAGCAAAUAAAUAUAUACAAUAUACGAAUUCAUUUGUUUUACGACGCGGCUUUUCAGAACACGAUUGACGCUCCUUUGCCCAUAAUGAUGAUAAUUAUGAUUAUUGUUAUUGUAAUGAAGAUUUUUGUGUAACACUGAUGAUUUAUAUUUCGCGGGUACAAUAACAAUAUUUGAAGGUGAAACACUCGGAAAAUGAAUCGACAUCGUUACUGCGGUUCUGAAAACAAAAAAAUAUUAUAAUACACGAUCCGUUUGUUGAUCAACACAGAACGGCCGAACUACUCCCAUCCAACGCGUUCAGUGCCUUUUCUAUACUUGUGGCUGACACAUACACAUACAAACAUAUAUAUACACACUGAUACACGGAACACUCUGAAUAAUAACUCGCCCGCCCUGCUCCUGCGAACAAAUCAUUAUAUAUAUCGAGCUUACAUUUAUUCUGAAUAAAAUGAAAAUUCCAAGGAUGAAAAGAUGAUGUACAAGUUCGACGACGGCGACGACGAUAUAUGAAGAUGACCGUAUGACAAAAUAAUCAACAGGUAUAUACUCUAGUGAUAGCAGAGCGAAAAAAAAAAUAGAGAAUGAAGACGAGAGCGACGACUGUAAAAAAUGUUAAAUCAACGCGUUUAUCACCGCUAUAUAUUAUAUGACUGCCGGAAAAUUUGAAAAAAAAAAGACGAAUCGAGAGAAGCAAACGCAGCCAUAUGCGCUCCAACAACCCUCGCAUACGUAUUUUUAUAUAUUUUCUUUCACCGUUGCGAUUGACUGCUUAUAAACGAGGAGAAAAAAAAAAGUAAAAGCAGACACAGAAAUACAAACAUGUACUGUACCUAAAAUCGCGAAAUGGUGGAUGCGAAUGUUAUGCGAUUGAGUUACUACGCGAUAUGUCCUCUAAACAAACAAAUAAUAAUCAUGAUAAUAAUAAUAAUUAAAUAAUGAAAAAUUAAAUGAAAGAUGGAAAAAGAUGUAAGAAAUGGAAGCAAAGGGAAUAUCCAAAAAGAAUAAUAAUUCGUAAAAAGAAGAUGGCGAUUAUGGAUGGAAACGCGAGAUGACUGAAUGAAAUAAAUGUGUACUACUUAUAAUAAAUAAAAAAAUAUAAAUGAUCGAUCA
rnacentral:misc_RNA from 1 species